CAGUCGCCGCGGGAAUACGAAGGGUGCAAGCGUUAAUCGGAAUUACUGGGCGUAAAGCGUGCGUAGGCGGUUUGUUAAGUCUGUUGUGAAAUCCCCGGGCUCAACCUGGGAAUGGCAAUGGAUACUGGCAAGCUAGAGUGUGUCAGAGGAUGGUGGAAUUCCCGGUGUAGCGGUGAAAUGCGUAGAGAUCGGGAGGAACAUCAGUGGCGAAGGCGGCCAUCUGGGACAACACUGACGCUGAGGCACGAAGGCGUGGGGAGCAAACAGGAUUAGAUACCCGGGUAGUCCCUGUCUCUUAUAC
rnacentral:rRNA from 1 species